rnacentral:lncRNA from 1 species
AUCUGAAGCAAAGCAAAGGAAGCGGAGAAAGCCUGGACCCUGAGACCAGAGACUUGCAGGAGCUAGAGACCAGUCUGGAGAGCAGAGUCCAAGACACGCACUUAUUUGGAAGAUGGGAGAAACUGAGGCUCGGAAAUGGAAAAGUUUCCCAGGUUCUCCCAGCAAGUCAGGCACAGACUCGAAUGCAGGUUUCACAAUUGGGGUUUCCGGAGACAUUCUUUUCUCCUGGGCUGAGCUGCAGAGUUUGAGGACAGUUCUUGGGCUGAAGUUGUCACGAACAGGUAUCUUGUGUCUUGUGAGGGCCAUGUUACUUGGUCCCACACUAUGACACCCAGGGGGAAUCAAGCAGGAAUGUACACACAACCAGCAUCAUCCUGCCUCCUGUUUCCUGCCUGGAAAGUGAGAAGAAAUGUCUGGAGCUGCAGUAGCCACAUUGUGACCAUGAGGCAGAAGCAGAAGGAAUUACAGUGGCCAAGUCUUGACAUUACAACAGAGCCACUGACGAUUCCUUGAACUGUCUGCCCGAGUGUUUCUUGUAGUUGAUAAAAGUAAACUCCUACAAUCGAGACCAGCCCGCUAGACCCCCAAAAUUGUUGUAACCAUUUUGUUCCAGGCCUGCCAGCUAUUUCGCAUUGUUGCUGUAACAUGCCAGUCAUGGACACACAAAAAUAACUUGACUCAGUGCAGGGUCAUGCUGACCACAUCCCUGUUAUAGUCUGUAUGUUCUGAAGUUUGUUAAUCUUAAGAAAUCCAACAGCUGUAAGCUCCAUGUAGGACCAAUCAGAAUAAAGGUCAGUUAGAACUGUUCUGUCCAAAAGCUGGCCAAAGUAGCUUGAGUCAGAGCUGACCAUUGGGCAGCACUUCCUGCACCUGCCUAUGAGCUUGUUGUGGUUUUUCCCUUUAU